rnacentral:ncRNA from 1 species
AAAACCGGUCGUGACCUGCAGGUCGUGAAAGGAGGUGAUAGAUGUGAUUUAUUUAUUCGAGCUCUUACUUGCUGUUAUGGCAAAUAUCUUGGCAUGGAUUAUUUGCAAAUGGUUGGACAGCAAGAAAAAUCGAUAGUCAACCUUUUCCACCCGU